rnacentral:rRNA from 1 species
AGUGAACGCUGGCGGUAGGCCUAACACAUGCAAGUCGAGCGGCAGAAGAGUAAGAGCUCGUGCUUACGGGGGGGGAGUGGCGGGCGGGUGCGGGAAACCUGGGAGGUUGUGGGGUAUUGGGGGAUGACGUGGGGGAUCAUACGCUAAAAGUGCAUACGACGUAAGGGGGAAAGCAGGGGACCUUAGGAUCUCGGACGAGUGUAUGAGGCGAGGUCGGAUUAGCUAGUUGGAGGGGUAAAGGCCCACCAAGGCGACGAUCCGUAGCUGGUCUGAGAGGAUGAUCAGCCACACUGGAACUGAGACACGGUCCAGACUCCUACGGGAGGCAGCAGUGGGGAAUAUUGGACAAUGGGCGCAAGCCUGAUCCAGCCAUGCCGCGUGUGUGAAGAAGGUCUUCGGAUUGUAAAGCACUUUUAUUUGGGAAGAAGAGCAGUAAGUUAAUACCCCGCUGUUCUGACGUUACCAAAAGAAUAAGCACCGGCUAACUUCGUG